rnacentral:rRNA from 1 species
UACGAAGGGGGCUAGCGUUGCUCGGAAUCACUGGGCGUAAGGGUGCGUAGGCGGGUCUUUAAGUCAGGGGUGAAAUCCUGGAGCUCAACUCCAGAACUGCCUUUGAUACUGAAGAUCUUGAGUUCGGGAGAGGUGAGUGGAACUGCGAGUGUAGAGGUGAAAUUCGUAGAUAUUCGCAAGAACACCAGUGGCGAAGGCGGCUCACUGGCCCGAUACUGACGCUGAGGCACGAAAGCGUGGGGAGCAAACAGGG